AACGAACGCUGGCGGCAUGCCUAACACAUGCAAGUCGAACGAGACCUUCGGGUCUAGUGGCGCACGGGUGCGUAACGCGUGGGAACCUGCCCUUAGGUUCGGAAUAACUCCCCGAAAGGGGUGCUAAUACCGGAUAAUGUCUUCGGACCAAAGAUUUAUCGCCUUUGGAUGGGCCCGCGUUGGAUUAGCUAGUUGGUAGGGUAAAAGCCUACCAAGGCGACGAUCCAUAGCUGGUCUGAGAGGAUGAUCAGCCACACUGGGACUGAGACACGGCCCAGACUCCUACGGGAGGCAGCAGUGGGGAAUAAUGGACAAUGGGCGAAAGCCUGAUCCAGCAAUGCCGCGUGAGUGAUGAAGGACUUAGGGUUGUAAAGCUCUUUUACCCGGGAUGAUAAUGACAGUACCGGGAGAAUAAGCUACGGCUAACUCCGUG
rnacentral:rRNA from 1 species